rnacentral:rRNA from 1 species
AAUUUUGGACAAUGGGGGAAACCCUGUUCCAGCCAUCCCGCGUGUAUGAUGAUGGCCUACGGGUUGUAAAGUACUUUUGCCAGAGAAGAAAAGGUACCUCCUAAUACGAGGUACUGCUGACGGUAUCUGCAGAACAAGCAUCGGCGAUCUACGUUCCAGCAGCCGCGGUAAUACGUAUGUUCCAGCGUUAAUCGGACUUACUGGGCGUAAAGCGUGUGUAGGCGGUUCGGAAGGAAAGAUGUGAAAUGCCAGGGCUCAACCUUGGAACUGCAUUUUUAACUGCCGAGCUAGAGUAUGUCAGAGGGGGGUAGAAUUCCACGUGUAGCAGUGAAAUGCGUAGAUAUGUGGAGGAAUACCGAUGGCGAAGGCAGCCCCCUGGGAUAAUACUGACGCUCAGACACGAAAGCGUGGGGAGCAAAC